UACAGAGGGGGCAAGCGUUAUUCGGAAUUAUUGGGCGUAAAGGGUGCGUAGGCGGCCUUUUAAGUCAGUGGUGAAAGCCCAUAGCUCAACUAUGGAACUGCCAUUGAUACUGAAAGGCUUGAGUACAGACGAGGUUGGCGGAAUGGAUGGUGUAGCGGUGGAAUGCGCAGAUAUCAGGAGGAACACCGGUGGCGAAGGCGGGUCUCUGGGCAGUAACUGACGCUGAGGAGCGAAAGCGUGGGGAGCGAACAGG
rnacentral:rRNA from 1 species